AGGUGGGGAGCCAGGAGUUCGAACCAGGAUUCUUAGGCCAGUCCUUGUGCAGGUUUUUUUCUUAAUGCCCAUUUUUGGUCCCUCCAAUACCUGAUUUUCUUAAGGGUGCUGAUCAUAUCAUCCAAUGCCUUCUGGUAAGCACUGAUAACCACUGUAGGGUGCAUCUGCUGCUCUAGGAAAUGCUCAGCCACAGAGAGCAUCUCUCCCGC